GGGCACAUGGCGUAGUUGGUUAUUACGCCCACUUAGCAUUUCAUUGGCUUUAACAAAUCUGCGGGCAGUCCCCGGUUCAAUUCCGGGUGUGUCCA